rnacentral:siRNA from 1 species
AAGAAAAGUGCCUCAUCCCUGAAA